AUUGAACGCUGGCGGCAGGCCUAACACAUGCAAGUCGAGCGAGCGGCGGACGGGUGAGUAAUGUCUGGGGAACUGCCUGAUGGAGGGGGAUAACUACUGGAAACGGUAGCUAAUACCGCAUACCAUCGGAUGUGCCCAUAUGGGAUUAGCUAGUAGGUGGGGUAAAGGCUCACCUAGGCGACGAUCCCUAGCUGGUCUGAGAGGAUGACCAGCCACACUGGAACUGAGACACGGUCCAGACUCCUACGGGAGGCAGCAGUGGGGAAUAUUGUACAAUGGGCGAAAGCCUGAUGCAGCCAUGCCGCGUGUAUGAAGAAGGCCUUCGGGUUGUAAAGUACUUUCAGCGGGGAGGCGUUACCCGCAGAAGAAGCACCGGCUAACUCCGUGCCAGCAGCCGCGGUAAUAC
rnacentral:rRNA from 1 species